GAUGAACGCUGGCGGCGUGCUUAACACAUGCAAGUCGAACGAAGCUGUUAAAAGGAAGUUUUCGGAUGGAAUUUUAACAGACUUAGUGGCGGACGGGUGAGUAACGCGUGGAUAACCUGCCUUAUACAGGGGGAUAACGGAGAGAAAUUUCCGCUAAGACCGCAUAAGACCACAGCACCGCAUGGUGCAGGGGUAAAAUAUUAAUAGGUAUAAGAUGGAUCCGCGUCCGAUUAGCUUGUUGGUGAGGUAGAGGCUCACCAAGGCGACGAUCGGUAGCCGGCCUGAGAGGGUGAACGGCCACAUUGGGACUGAGACACGGCCCAAACUCCUACGGGAGGCAGCAGUGGGGAAUAUUGGACAAUGGGGGAAACCCUGAUCCAGCGACGCCGCGUGAGUGAAGAAGUAUUUCGGUAUGUAAAGCUCUAUCAGCAGGGAAGAA
rnacentral:rRNA from 1 species